AUUGAACGCUGGCGGCAUGCCUUACACAUGCAAGUCGAACGGCAGCACGGGAGCAAUCCUGGUGGCGAGUGGCGAACGGGUGAGUAAAGUAUCGGAACGUGCCCAGUCGUGGGGGAUAACGUAGCGAAAGUUACGCUAAUACCGCAUACGAUCGAUGGAUGAAAGCGGGGGAUCGCAAGACCUCGCGCGAUUGGAGCGGCCGAUAUCAGAUUAGGUAGUUGGUGGGGUAAAGGCCCACCAAGCCGACGAUCUGUAGCUGGUCUGAGAGGACGACCAGCCACACUGGGACUGAGACACGGCCCAGACUCCUACGGGAGGCAGCAGUGGGGAAUUUUGGACAAUGGGCGAAAGCCUGAUCCAGCCAUGCCGCGUGCAGAAAGAAGGCCUUCGGGUUGUAAACUGCUUUUGUACGGAACGAAAAGGACUGCCCUAAUACGGUGGUCCCAUGACGGUACCGUAAGAAUAAGCACCGGCUAACUACGUGCCAGCAGCCGCCGUAAAAC
rnacentral:rRNA from 1 species